GGGGUCGACUGGUUUUGACAGCAGGUCGAAUUGAAUGGUAAGCACGCCAGGAACGGAAACAUAUCCUGUAAAUAAUGUUUCACAAUUUUAAACGGCGAAAAUAACUACGCUCUUGCUGCAUAAUCCGAAUUUAUAGUACGAUUAGCCUCGUUCCUACAAGGUAGGAAAGCGAGAUUCUCCUAAAAAGCCUUGGUUUACGGCGUUUUGUUAAGGGGAACCGUAAAAGUAAACAUAGGGACUUCUUUGCUUUGCAGAAGUCUUGAAACUAAAGAAGCUAAGUAGUAUGUGGUCGUUUCCGACCUUGCACACUAUCGAAAACCUAAGCGGAAACUAAGCGUGUAGAAAGCUCUUGAAUUGCCUGUUUGGACCCGGGUUCGAUUCCCGGCGAUUCCACUG
rnacentral:tmRNA from 1 species